rnacentral:tRNA from 1 species
UCUAAUAUGGCAGAAUAAUGCCUUGGUUUUAAACACCAAAUAUAAAGAAUAUUUCUUUUUUUAGAA